rnacentral:rRNA from 1 species
AGUCGAACGAAGCACAGAUGUAGAAUUUCUUCGGAAAGGAAGCGCCUGUGACUGAGUGGCGGACGGGUGAGUAACGCGUGGGCAACCUGCCCCAUACCGGGGGACAACAGCUGGAAACGGCUGCUAAUACCGCAUACGUUUUCGGUGCCGCAUGGCGCCGAAAAGAAAACUCCGGUGGUAUGGGAUGGGCCCGCGUCUGAUUAGCUAGUUGGGAGGGUAACGGCCUACCAAGGCGACGAUCAGUAGCCGGCCUGAGAGGGCGACCGGCCACAUUGGGACUGAGACACGGCCCAGACUCCUGCGGGAGGCAGCAGUGGGGAAUAUUGCACAAUGGGGGAAACCCUGAUGCAGCGACGCCGCGUGAGCGAAGAAGUACCUCGGUAUGUAAAGCUCUAUCAGCAGGGAAGAAAGUGACAGUACCUGACUAAGAAGCCCCGGCUAACUACGUGCCAGCAGCCGCGGUAAUACGUAGGGGGCAAGCGUUAUCCGGAUUCACUGGGCGUAAAGGGAGCGCAGGCGGCGCGGCAAGUCUGAUGUGAAAGCCCGGGGCUCAACCCCGGGUCUGCAUUGGAAACUGUCGAGCUAGAGUGUCGGAGGGGUAAGCGGAAUUCCUAGUGUAGCGGUGAAAUGCGUAGAUAUUAGAAGGAACACCAGUGGCGAAGGCGGCUUACUGGACGAUGACUGACGCUGAGGCUCGAAAGCGUGGGGAGCAAACAAGAUUAGAUACCCUGGUAGUCCACGCCGUA